UACAGAGGUCUCAAGCGUUGUUCGGAUUCAUUGGGCGUAAAGGGUGCGUAGGCGGUGAGGUAAGUUGGAUGUGAAAUCCCAGGGCUUAACCCUGGAACUGCAUUCAAUACUGCCCUGCUAGAGUACUGGAGAGGAGAUUGGAAUUCACGGUGUAGCAGUGAAAUGCGUAGAUAUCGUGAGGAAGACCAGUGGCGAAGGCGAAUCUCUGGACAGUUACUGACGCUGAGGCACGAAGGCUAGGGGAGCAAACGGG
rnacentral:rRNA from 1 species